ACCUGGAUGUUACCCAGGCUGGCCACCAAUGAAUUUUGCUUAUGAGACCUCGUUCCAAGUUUCCCACGGAUGGAUCUACAAACUGGUGUCUCGCUAAUGCUGUGCUGCUGGAUUUCCUCCUGCUGAUCUUUUCCUGGAUUCAACCUCCGAUCCUGCCUCCACGAAACCUGUCCACCCUCCACCGCUCCACUCGUGCCCACAAUACAAUCCUCCAAACACCGUUAACGCCCAAGGGACUAAGUAUCUUGGCAUAACUCACCUCCGUAGUCCCAUGCUGUUUCCUCCGGCCCGACUCCCUCUCCUCCUGGCGGUUUGUCAACAACCAACUAGUAAGAAACAGAACCCCAUCAGUUUCCCAUCUUAGUUACCGUCAUUUUACCUAUGCUUUCUUCAUUACAGCUUUGCCUACUAUGCCAAGACCGUACUUACUUCUGUGCUUUCAAUAAAUCUGUUAAACACUUCCUGGUUUCCUUUGAGCGUUUACUGCAUGUGGGUCAGAACUAUCCGUAAAACGAUGACAGAACAUUCGAGCCAACCCGACCCAGCAGAAACGCUCAGGGGAGUCCUUUCAGACCACACUCACCUUAUUCAGACCCACGAUUCCACUUUAUGUACUCUCGCUGAAAAACAGAGACUAACCAAUGUUCAGCUUGAACAAUUAACAUCCAUGUUCCAGCACUCCCUGAGCAGCUCCACCGCCCCGCCUGUCGAGGUUGCUGCAGCAGCCCCCGUCACUCAGCAACUAACCUUAGUCCGGACAAGUAUUCCGGUCCGCGCUGACCCGGAGAAGGUCAGAGCAGUACUGGAGUGGCCCGUUCCCGACUAGAGGAAGCAGUUGCAAAGGUUCCUUCUACUUCUACUGCAGAUUUAUCCGAAACUACAGCCAGACGGCAGCACCUCUGACUGCGUUGACUUCUACCAAGACCAGUUUCCAUUGGACUCCUGCUGCUGAUCAGGCCUUCAGGAGUCUUCAGGAGAAAUUCGUCCAGGCUCCCAUCUUGAUUCACCCAGAUUCCUCUAGACAGUUCGUGCUGGAGGUUGAUGCUUCGGACUCUGGAGUGGGAGCAGUACUCUCUCAACGAUCGAGUGAGGAUAGUAAACUUCAUCCUUGUGGUUUCUUUUUGCACCGGCUCAGCCAAACUGACCGUAACUAUGAUGUCGGAGAUAGAGAACUGUUAGCCAUUUAGUUGGCUUUAGAGGAGUGGAGACAUUGGUUGGAGGUGGCUACUCAUCUUAUUCUAGUCUGGACCGACCACAAGAACCUAGCUUAUUUACAGACAGCUAAGAGACUGAACCCCAGACAGGCACGCUGGUCACUAUUUUUCUCUCGUUUUAACCUCUCCAUCUCUUUCAGACUGGGGAGUAAGAAUGCGAAGCCUGAAGCACUCUCCCGACUGAUCGCAUCAGAUGAUUCGGAGAGAGUCCCUGAGCCCGUUGUCUCCCCUACCUGGGUCAUUGGGGCUGUCUCCUGGGAGAUUGAGGAACUAGUUAAUCAUGCUCUGAGAACUGAGCCUGACCCGGGAACAGGCCCUAAGAAGAGAACUUUUGUCCCAGCCUCAGUCAGAGCACGAGUUAUCCAAUGGUUCCACACUGCUAUGUUCGCCGCACAUCCGGGAAUAAGUAGAACCAUUGCAUUGAUUAAAAGAUGUUUUUGGUGGCCCUCUCUGCACCAGGACAUCAGGGAAUGGGUUCUCGCCUGCACGGUUUGUUCUAGGAGUAAGAGUAGCAACCAACCACCGUCUAGGUUACUUCAACCACUGAACAUUCCCAGGCGUCCCUUGUCGCAUAUAGCUUUGGACUUUGUAACCAGGUUACCUUCAUCCAGAGGCAUGACUGUCAUUUUGACUAUUAUAGAUUGUUUUUCUAAAGCUGGUCACCUCGUACCGUUGAGGAAGCUUCCCUCGGCUUUCCAGACAGCUCAGCUCCUCAUCAAACAUGUUAUGCAGCUACAGGGUAUACCCCAGGAUAUUUUAUCUGACUGAGGGCCCCAGUUUGUCUCCCAAGUCUGGCGCCAGUUUUGCUCCGCUUUGGGAGCCAAGUUGUCGCUCACCUCGGGUUACCACCCCCAGUCUAACGGCCAGGUUGAGAGACUCAACCAACAACUCGAGUCCACGCUCAGGUGCGUUACCUCCUCCUCUCCGUUAGACUGGACUGAGCAUCUUAACUGGGUAGAGUAUGCCAUAAAUUCUCAGGUUUCGUCUGCUACUGGUGUUUCCCCGUUUGAAGCCUCUUUAGGGUAUCAGUUGCCCCUUUUUGCAGCGGAUGAGCGUGACGUAGCCGUUACCUCUGUCCAUCACCAUGUUCGCCGGUGCACGCUUAUUUGGAGAAGGACUGUUGAAGCACUCCAACGCACCGCUGCCCAGAACAAGCGCAUUGCUGACCGCAAGAGGCGUCCCGCCCCGGUUUAUCAGCCAGGACAGAGAGUCUGGUUGUCCUCUCAGGACAUCCCAAUGAAGGCGAUGUCUAAGAAGCUGUCCCCUCGGUUUAUUGGUCCUUAUGUCAUCGAGUCCCUCAUUGGUCCUUCUGCCGUUCGUCUUUGGUUACCAUCCUCCUUACAUGUUCACCCCACUUUUCAUGUAUCUCAGGUUAAGCCGUUCAUUGUCAACAAUUUUUGAGACAAGUGUUCUCCAUUCACCGGUGAUGAGGCUCCUGGAGUAUUUAAGCAGGAGGCAGCCAGCAUGUCAGCGCUCGAGUGUUAGCCUUCAGUGGUAUUAUCCAAGCCGACCUUUGAGCCGCUUCUCGUAUUGCUUGCUUCGACUUUGUUAACCUAUUUUGUCUUUUCAGUAUACCAUGUUGGUGACUACCUGGAUGUUACCCAGGCUGGCCACCAAUGGAUUUUGCUUAUGAGACCUCGUUCCAAGUUUCCCACGGAUGGAUCUACAAACUGGUGUCUCGCUAAUGCUGUGCUGCUGGAUUUCCUCCUGCUGAUCUUUUCCUGGAUUCGACCCCCGAUCCUGCCUCCACAAAACCUGUCCACCCUCCACCGCUCCACUUGUGCCCACCAUACAAUCCUCCAAACACCGUUAACGUCCAAGGGACUUAGUAUCUUGGCAGAACUCACCUCUGUAGUCCCACGCUGUUUCCUCCGGCCCGACUCCCUCUCCUCCUGGCGGUUUGUCAACAACCAACUAGUAAGAAACAGAACACCAUUAGUUUCCCAUCUUAGUUACCGUCUUAACUUACCUAUGCUUUCUUACUUACAGCUUUGCCUAUUGUGCCAAGACCGUACUUACUUCUGUGCUUUCAAUAAAUCUGUUAAACGCUU